GAUGAAAAGAAACAGCAACCUAUGAAACUAUAGGAACUAUUAUCUGAGCCUAAGUUUGUGGAAAUCGAUCAAAUUAUUUCGGAUAAAUUUAGUGAGUCCGUUUUAGAGUUUCUGAUCACUAUUUCCGGUACUUCUGGAACCGGGAACUUGGAACCAGUAAGUAACUAAUAUAGCCUACAAAUUGAAUCAGUUUUGAGCGAAAUCUAGAAGAAUUUUGACCUUUUUUGCAUCAUCGCUCUACAUGACGGUGUGCAAUUUUAAACACACUUUACCCUAUGAAAGCAUAAUGAAAUUCAAUAGCAACCUAUGGGACUAUAAGAUAUUUUAUUUUAUGAGUGACAUUAUUUGACACAUACUCACACACACACACACAUACACACACAGACAUUGCUCAGCUAGAUGAACUGUGUCUAAUGAUAUAGAGUACUUAGCCCUCCGGGCCAAUUUUCAUUAGUUCAGCAUAAACUUUCUAUAUGAGAAAGGCAAUAAGUGUACUUUUAUAGAAAAGCAUCGUUGUCAUGAUUUUGUUAUAACACUAACAUACAAAUUGAAUAAAAGAUUUACAAAUUUUCAUAUUUUUCUUCUGAAAAUAUAGAUUCAAAUUUGGCAACCCUGCACGUUAUACGAAACUGAACAGAGCACGCUGCGAAGGGACAUACUGACGCGUACUUGUUUUGCAUCGUCAUUUUGAAUGACGAUUUUAAUGUUUUGACACUCAUCGCCAUAUAAUUUUGGAACCAGAAGUCGGAUCAGGAUGAAAUUGCACAGCUUAUUUUAAGUCAAUGAGAGCUUUAAUUGGAAUCAUGACUCGUGAAAAUCGGUUCAACCGUUGCUGAGAAGUCGAAGUGAGUUCCUUUUUUGGAACUUUACUUCACUAUUAUCCCAGAGUAGAUUUUUAUAUACACUAUCUAAUAAGAUCUUCUAACUAGAUGAAUUUGGCAGUAGGUUUUAUUGAAAUUUGCACCUCGUUUCGCCAUCGCUUGUGAAUAAAUACUCAUGAAAUUGAAAAUUUCCGCUAAUCGCACUGUAAUACCGGAACCAGAAGUCGGAUAAGGAUCAACUUUUCGGAGACUUUUCGAGAAAUUUGCACAUAUUUUCUUGUAAUUCCGCAACCAGAAGUUGGAUCCACAUGAAAUUAAGGAAAAUUGUUUGAGGCCAUAAGGCCUUUCAUUUGAAUCUAAAUUUGUGAAAAUCGGAAGCCAUCUCUGAGAAACGUGUGUGACUAUUUUUUUUUGUUUCAAUUAUAGAGGUUUUAACAUUAAUGUCAUUCGCCUCUUCGGGCCAGAAAAACUUUCUGACCCUAUGUGCGGGGUUGGGAAUCGAACCCAGGCGGGCUGCGUGAAAGGCAUCGACUUACCCAUCACGCUAUACCCGUCCCAAAAGAGCCUGUGUGUGACUAUUUUCUUCCUUUUAGUUGGUGCAUAUCACCCUUUAACUCCGGAACCGAAAGUCAGAUCGGGAUAAAAUUUAAUAACAGUCUAUGGCACAAUAAGACCUUCAAUUGAAUCUGAGUUGGUGAAAAUCGCGGAGGAAAUUAAGUGACAUUAUUUGUCAUACACACACAGACAUUUUGUGAUCUCAACGAACUGAGUCGAAUGCUGUAUGACACUUGACCCUCCGGGCCUUGGUUGCCUUUAGGUCGGUUUUCACAGCGAUUGCAUAAGGUUUUUAUAUGAGAAAGGCAAAACUAGGUGAUGACUUAAUUAAUUCAUGAAACUUGCCCACGGUCUUGCAAAAUGGAUUCUAUCUUGCCUAUAAUAACACAUGGAUCAAUAAGUCCCGAGACUAACAAUGGAAACAACAUUUUUUUUGCAAAUUUUUUUUUUAUUCAUCGACAUAAUCACCUUUUAGGGUGAUACAAUGAUUCCAACGUUUUUCCAUGUUUAUAAAAAAAUUUAUCUUUCGCUUCAAAAUAAGCUUCAGUUUCAGCGAUGACCUCCUCAUUUGAGCCAAAUCUGUUUCCUGCAGCAUUUUUUUAAGAUCAGCAAAGAGCCAGUAGUCACUGGGGGCUAAAUUUGGCGAGUAUGGAGGGUGGGGAAGCAGAUCAAAGCCCAAUUCGUUCAAUUCCGCCAUUGUUUUCAUCGACUUGUGGCAGGGUGCAUUGUCUUGGUGAAAAAGGAUUUUUUUCUCUGCAUGUGCGGUUGUUUUUUUACGAUUUCCUCCUUCAAACGCACCAGUAAGUCAAUAUAAUAAUCACUGUUGAUCGAUUUACCUUUUUCGAGGUAGUCAAUGAAAAUCACGCCAUGCGUAUCCCAAAAAACUGACGCCAUGACUUUGCCAGCUGACUGCUGCGUUUUCUGACGCUUCGGACGGCUUUCGCCAGCUGUGCGCCACUCAGAUGACUGCCGCUUCGACUCUGGAGUGUAGUGAUGUAUCCAUGUUUCGUCCAUGGUCACGUAACGACGCAAGAAAUCUUUUUUGUUGCGAGUAAAUAGCGAUAAACUGCUUUCUGAAUACCUUAAAACCGGGUAUAAAUAAAAUUUAUAAAACUUAAACUGCUUUCUGAAUCAUCGACUCGUUGCUGUUUUUGUUCCAUCGAAAGCAAUCGCGGCACCCACUUGGAAAAAACCUUUUUCAUGUUUAAUUUUUCAUGAAGGAUAGUAAAUACACUUCCAUAUGAUAUCUGUGUCAUCUCAGCAAUCACACGGAGCUUUACUUUACGAUCUUUAAUUAUAAUUUUUGUCACUUCACUCACAUUUUCCGGUGUAACGGCUUCCACAGGUCUACCCGAGCGUUCCGCGUCAUUUGUAUCGAUACGACCACGUUUAAACUCGGCGAGCCACAGAGAAAUCGUUGCUUUCGAUGGACAAGAGUCCGGAUAACAUUUUUCAAUCCAUUGUUUCGCUUGCACGGUGUUUUUACCCAUUAAAAACAAUGUUUUAUCAAAACACAAAACUCAGUUUUUUCCAUUUUUUAAACAAACUACAAAACGACUUUACUCCAACCUCGAUAACUCAGCUGUUUCUGGUCGGAUCGACUUAAAAUUUUGACCCGUUUCAAGCAAAGGCUAGUACUCUAGAAAGACGUGGUUACUGGUUUACUACGAGCGCCAUCUCUGCUUAGUCUCGGGACUUAUUGAUCCAUGUGUUAGCUGGUGGAAUUUAAGGAUAUAAAUCAUGGAAUAAUUUUUCCAUGAAUGUUUUCACCAAGCAUAAAAAUGAGAUAGCUAGAGAUGAAGACGCCACCGAGUAGUAUAAACACCAUUUUUGUUUUUUUUUGUGAAGUCCCAAAGGGUUUUGAAAUGUAACUUCAAAGUGUUGAAAAAAUGAUAUUAUUCUAAGUUCGACUUUCAUACUGUGAAUACGAAAAUAAAAUUUUGAAUUUUGAACUUCAGUUUCAAAAGUAUAUUUUUUCUUUGGUUUCAUCAAUCAUUUAAUUGCUUUUGUUUUGUUCGAAGAAAAAUAUUGCAUAUUUUUGAUUUUCAUUCUACAUUUUCGGAAACGUUCACGUUAGAUCUGCUAUCGUUCUAAUCUUAAUUUUACCCGCUGUUAGAAAUCAGUAUUUCUUAUUAAUCGUAUUUAAAGCGCUGCAGAAUUUGUUUCAAAAAUAGUUCUGUCAUCAAAACGUUAUAUUUACCAACAGUGCUGCCAAAUUCGAUGUUAAGUUAUAAGCAAAACUUAAAAAUGGUGUCACGAACGCAUAUAAAGUUAUUAGUUAGAAUAAUGCAUUUUGUUUCCAUUUUCUAACACCAUGGAAAAAGAAAAUUUCAUCACAGGUCGGAAGCAAACACAAUAACAAUAACAAAUACGGUGACAACUGAUGGCUAUCUUCUGCAUCAUUAAACCUAUGUUGCUACCAACUCAACAGCAGUUCAAGACGAAGGAAGAAGAAAAUAUGGUUUUGCUGUUUACCGUUUGCUGAUUCUACGACCUUCUAUGACCCAAGCAGAACAGAUGUAGACCAAUGUUGUGGGUUUAUCUAAUAACUUAUUAUUUAAUCCUGAGACAAUCGACCCGAAACAUUUGAUGACCACCCUACGAAAAAAUGUUUUACUGCAAAGGGUAAAAUGACGACACGGGCUUGGCCUAAUCGGCUCCUCUACGCCGGAGCUGUUGGUAACGACUUGGCCAAACCUAUUCGCUAGCAAAACAGAAUGAUUGGGCACUAUCAGGAAUCAGAACAAAUUGGCUCAAAUGGCACGUUCCCCUUGAUAUUUGGAGAUUUGUGCCUUGCCAUCAAUUUGUUUUUAGCAUCAUUUUCCCGAUAUAUAAGAGGGAAGGAUUGAAAGGAAAUGGUAAGGGUUGGACUAGGAGGAUGGGAAAAAUUGACGACACAAAAACACAUAAAAGCAAAAGUAAAUUCUGCACCCCUAAGGGAUGCUGAACAAUCUGCUGAGGAUCACAUUUAGUGGAAGCAGAAGGAAAUUCUGAACCUCUACGAGGUCCCGAACAGUCUGCUGUUAAUAAAACCUCCAACCCCCGAGAGGAUUUAGAGAUCUUACAAAAGCGACACCAUUCUGCACUCCCGGAAGAAUGCAGAACGACUCGCAGUAUGUACGAGCAGAAGUAAAUUCGGUACCCCCCAGAGGAUGCCAAACAAUCUGCCAAACCCUAUUUAAGGUUAAUACAGAAGGGAUUCAUUCACUCCAGGAAGAACGAUGAACCCUUCUGACUAUAGCUCCUUACCACAUUGGGUGAGAAACGAGAGAAUAUCCUUCAAUUUUAGCUCCGCAUACACAGACUCAACCAUGUAUGGAGAACCAAAAACCCGGAUACGUAGCUGCCUCAAUGCGGGACAGUUACAUAUCAGAUGAUAUGAAGUACCAUAAUCGCAUUCACACAAAUCACACGAAUAAUACUCAGCACGUUGAAUAGUAGCCAUGUGAUAAUUGAGUUUGCAAUGUCCAGUCAGAGCUCUGACCAGAACACUUCAAUGAUACUUGGAGAAAUGCAGUAGACACUUUGACAUUUUCAGAUCUAAAUCUGGUAGAAAUGCUUUGUCUGAGCGCAAGUUUGCAAGCUGCGCCAGUAGCUGGCAUGUUUGGAUGCAGCCCAAGAACGUAUCUUGUGCUUUAUCCAACUAGUUGAAAGUGGUAAAGCUGGUUCAGGACCAACGAAAUCAUUCGUUGCACCAGCUCUAGCCAACUCAUCAGCCCAUUCAUUUCCAGUAAUACCAGAAUGGCCGGGUACCCAUAAGAAGUAAACAGCAUUUGAAAUGCUGAGGUCUUCAAUUUGAGAAUAUAUCUGGGUUUGAGUCCCCAUGAUUUUCCAAAAGCUCGUCUGCAUUGGCCGAAAGCCAUGCAAGCUCUUUUAAUCCUGAAAUCAAUGUGAGCAGACCAAUUCAGUUUUGAGUCAAGAAUAACCCCGACGUAUUUAACUUGAUCGACCACAGUGACUCCUGAACCAAAGAACUGCAACGGACGAGCUCCUGUAAUUAUCCUACGAUGAGUGAAAAGCACCAUUGAUGUUUUGCCCGGAUUUACAGAUAAUCCAAACCUGACAACACCAUUGUUCAACAGAUCGCAGGGCUUGCUGCAUUAAAUCAAAGAGAGUGUUAAUGCUUAUACCACCUUGAGGACACCCACAGACACUCAGCUUUCUAAUCUCUGGCCUGCCGAAUCGAUGAUCAAAGAAGUUGAUUGCUAAGCAUUGCGUGUAUCCAGUAAGGGAAAAACCCAAGAUAUUCCGUUCACGACUGCAAAGUUUAACCUCCUGCAGCCAUUCAGCCAUCGGCACGGAAAUACACCUUGACUUAGGAGUUCCUAUUUUUGUGGCCUUUUACGACAUGGAAUAGGAAACCAGUGGAUCAAUUCUUGGUAAAAAAUAAUUCCGCCGGAUGCCACACGGCUUACCUGUUUGGUGGACUUAUACCACCGGUACAGGUGGACCGUAGCGUUAUUCUUAGCAGUUGGGAAACCGCUACCGACACUACACGGCUAUCUAGGCUGCUCAGAGAGGGAAGUUAACAUUGAUGGUCAACUUCCAUGGAUGGCCGAACAGCCGGUUAAUUUCAUCACAGGUCGGAAGCAAACACAAUAACAAUAACAAAUACGGUGACAACUGAUGGCUAUCUUCUGCAUCAUUAAACCUAUGUUGCUACCAACUCAACAGCAGUUCAAGACGAAGGAAGAAGAAAAUAUGGUUUUGCUGUUUACCGUUUGCUGAUUCUACGACCUUCUAUGACCCAAGCAGAACAGAUGUAGACCAAUGUUGUGGGUUUAUCUAAUAACUUAUUAUUUAAUCCUGAGACAAUCGACCCGAAACAUUUGAUGACCACCCUACGAAAAAAUGUUUUACUGCAAAGGGUAAAAUGACGACACGGGCUUGGCCUAAUCGGCUCCUCUACGCCGGAGCUGUUGGUAACGACUUGGCCAAACCUAUUCGCUAGCAAAACAGAAUGAUUGGGCACUAACUCUAAUUGUGCAUUUACCGAACGAAGCGAGCAUAAACUUUUUCCCCUAGAAGGAAAACUAGGUAGUGCGAUGACUGGAAGGAGAUAGCAUUGUAGAGUACGCGUGAACCGGUUAUGAACUUUGUACUUCAAAAACGGUCAGGGCUCGAAACACGAAAACAUUUUUUUUUUCAAUGCUCGUGAAAAAUACUGAUCCACCAUAAGCAAUGUUGAACAAUUCGAACAAUCACUUCGUUGGCAAAUCGUAACUGAUGCCCUCUAAUCAACCAAAUUACGACAAUUCAAAGGUACCGUCAUGACGCCGGCUCUUAUUACUAUUCCAUCACCAUGUAACUUUACAUCGUACUAUGCUCUAACACUCCUCAGUGGAUUCAAUAAUUCCGUUUUCUCUUCCUCCAACUCCAUCAAUCGACUUGAAUACUUGAAAGUCCCACCCAAGUCCAGCUCCUUUCGCUCGAAACAAUCUUCCAUCCGUGCAUGUCUACACUGAUUUUUCUUCUUCUCCUUAUAUACUACUAUACUCCACGCUUUUCGGGCCAGUUCCAAGGAUUACAGAUACCAACAGAGCGGCUCUCGCACUUUGUGGUAAUAAAUGUCGCCCCGUGUCUGUACCGGUGCCAUUCCACCUAGUUCCACCUCCUUGCAGUAACAAUCGCCAAAACCAGCGCCACCCACUCACGCUGCAUUAGGUUAGGUCUCACGAUCGCUCUUCGCCGCUUCAACCGUGCCCCUCUUCACAACCAACCAACCAACCGUUCAUUGCAACCAGCGUCGGACUCUCGAAAGGGGGAGGAAAACCGCACAACAAAAAACAAUCUACUUUGGGCCCUGUGCUAUGCCAGUCCACUCAGCAUUCACUCUAUCAAGUUUUGGAGUCGAUUGAAUAGUGGAGAGCCAUUGGUGAUGCUCUUGAUUCUCUUCUGACAAACAAAUUCUCAUUAUUGAAUAUAUAUGUACAACAAAAUGUGCAUCUCCUCUCAGUUCGAGUGAGUUCGUUGUGUGUGGGUCGAUUUUUCGGUUGUAGGUUUGGUAGUCUACUGACAUACUCCUCGCAGCUCGCGUUUCCCGCGGGUCGCAGCUGAACUAAUACGGCACUUUGGGAUGGGUGCGUUUGGUAGUUUAAAUAAACAUUUGAAUUUUCGUGUUCGGACAAAAAAAAUCUGAUUGCUUUAGCACUUAUUGAAUAUCAAACACAAUGCUGCAGAAUUCUAGAAAAAUGUAGACCAGUAAGAUACUUUUUUAUGAUACGAACUAGUAUAGAGAUACACAUUUAAUCGUGAGCACUAAAAUUAACCUGACAGUAUAUUGAAAGAAUAACAUACAAUAAUUGAUGUUUUGCCAUUUGGACUUGUACUAAACUAGAUCAUUUAAAUUUUUAAUUUGGCCAUAUGUCGACUUUAUUGAAGGAUGUUCCUGAAUGUUAUCCGAAUCCGACUUCCGGUUCCGGAAUUACAGGGUGAUUAGUGUUAAAAUUCCUAUUUCAAAUUAUUUAAUCACUUUUCUCAGAGAUGGAAUGACCAGUUUUUUCAAUCAUAGGUUCGAAUGAAAGGUCUCAUGCUUCAAUACAAAACUUACAAAUAUCAUCCGGAUCUGACAUCCGGAAUUAUAGGGUGAAGUGUGUUCAAAAUUUGAUACCGUCACUUAAAGCGGCGAAACAAAAAACAUAAAACUAUUUCUAAUCUGGAAUCGAAACUAUUCCAAUCGAUAGUUAUUAUCAGUAGACACAACCGAACAAAUCGAUUUCGGCUAUCCUGUUUCCCGGUAUCCGAUUUAGGAAGCACCAAAAAUUGUGGUCAUAUAUUCCAAAGAUAUCACUCACUUUUGUCAGCGAGGGCUUGACCGAUUUGCACAAGAUUAAAAAGAAAGGUCUUAUGAUCCCACAAUGAACUCCUAAAUUUCAUAGUUGACAAUUAUUUCCACGAGUAAAGUUCCAAAUAAAUCGGUUACUUCUCGUUUGGAGGACGGCGCACAAAGCAAAUCUGCCACUUGCUUGUGUGCCCUUUCCUAAAGCGCUACCGUACCGCUCUAAUAUUCUGAUUUAAAAUCGAUUUUAUAAAAAAUUAAUGUAUAUGAGGAAAUCCAAUCAACUCUAUGCUUGAUUCAAAGUGGAAACACUGAAAAUGUUUAGGAACUAGAUGUAAUUGCGGAUUAUAACACUAUCAUUUGUGGCCCUUAAAACUGUCGAUUUGUAUAUGUAAUAUCUCCAUUGUGUUCAUAUUUUGAUGAAUUUUCCGCACUAGAACAAAAAAACGGUUCUAACGGCUUCAAAAAUAAUAACAUAUACAGUUUUGAGGUUGAAUACUACAUUCCAGAUGAUCAUUUUUCGUUUUUAUGGCUGAUUAAUUGUAUUCUUUCUGUUACUCGCACGCAAACGAUCAGCAGCUAAAUGAUGUAAUCGAGGGAUUCAUUUCAGACUUUCAGAAGGUGGCAUUUUCUACGAUAUUGAACGCUGUUCGGAGCAUUUUUCUCGAAUGCGAAGCAGUCAAAUGCUGGUUUUAUUUGCACUCGUUUGGUGCGAGUUUCUCAGAUUUGCAUUAAACUGAUGAUUAUUACCUUCGAUAAAAAGGCAAAGAGGUAAUCUUAAUCGUUUUUUAGAUAACAUUUAGAGCCAUUAGAACGACUGAUUUUGUGUAAUGUUCCCUUAUCGUUAUCCUCUUUUCGUUGUUUUUUCAUCAAUGCAAACGACCAGAAGCUGGAUGAUGCAAUCGCUAUCGCUAGAUAUUCAUAGUCAGAUUGUUCAUCGAAUAUCUCGGCUUUGAAGGCUUGUAAAUCUACCGUGACAAAGUCUAGAUAAUUUGGUUUAGAUGCGAUUAGUACAUAAAAACAUAUAUGUUAUCGCGAUAAAAAUAAAGUCUUGUAUUUUUCUGUGAAACAAAGUCAGUUUCAAUGCAUCCGCCAUUUUUUCGCUUUGGUUUCCUGAUAGCAUUCUGAAAAAGGAGAGAGAAAUAAAAUUGGCUCGACAAGGCUGCCAAACACACAGACAUGAAAGUUGAAUAUUUUUACCUUUUUCAUUAUUCAUUGGAAUCCAUGUAAUGUCCAACCCAUACGAUAGAUUAAUGUGAUAAAACUUCUCAUCAAAAUAAUAAAAUGAAUGCUGGCAACCCGGUACAGUUUGCUCAUAUACGAGAGAGUACAAGAGAAAUACGAUGCCCAAAGGGAAUUGAGCGAGCCACGUGGUCGAUUCAAAACUCAACACGCGACUCUCUGUCCUCAGACCUUAAGCGACCGUUCAUAAACCACGUAGACUAAAAUCUGGUAUUUUCAAAUAGUUGAUUGGUUCAAUUUCAACCUUUUUUGGCAAACGUUCACUUUCGCAAUUCCAAUCAUAUUGAUUUUUCAAAUCCGGUUCUGGUUGGAAGAAACCACACUGACAACUACUUCACGUCAGAACAAAAAUAUGAAUAACUUUUUAGGCUUCCUCGCGAUUUGGUAUUUUAAUAAUUAAUUUCUUUUUCUUAUUCGUGAUCGGCUAUAGAUGAGUGAUAAAUUCUGAUCAUUUUGUCACCCUACUAACAUCGGUCCUUUGCCGGUUUCUAAAAUUCUCUGGACAUUUCACUCGUCAGAACGCUCAUGGAUUGCAGAAGCAAUUGACAUUAUCUACAUUUCUCCUUUCAUUGCUUGAUUACGAUGUGACUGAAUAAUAACUAAAUAAUAGCAGAAUAAAAGGAAAAACAAUAGAAUGUUCGGUCUUUGAGUAUACCUCUACUUGGUCAUAGAACUAAGUUAAAUUGCUUGAAAAAAUAAAAGAAUACAAGACUACGUAGACUUUAGGCAAAACCCCCCUCCCUCUAUCUCGUAGACAAACGUUAACUUUUGUCAAAUACCUCCGAAUACAAGCCAAGUAUUAUCGUUUAUGUGGAAUAUUUGAAAAUAUAACUUUUUGAAUGUUCUCUUGUCUUCAAUCGUUCUUUUGAAAAAGAAUCUAUGCGUGCUACUAAACUCAGGCAUAUACAUGGUUAGCAAGUUAGUCUAUACAUAUACAUAUAACCUCAUGUUAGUCAAUCAUAAUUACUAAUGAUUCAUAACUACAGCUAUAGUAAUAAGAGUAACAGUAAUCACUAACAAUAACGGAUGAAUUAGCAUAUAUACAAAGUGUGAAGGAUUCAAAAAUCCAUUACGUCCGGUCUUUUUUACAAGCUAUCAUUACGAGAGGUAAACCCACUGCUCUCAAUUACUGAAAAAAGUUCUGGUUUCUAUGUGUCGGUUUUUCUUGUUAUGCUUUGUGCGACGGUUCGUUCAACUGAAGCGGAUAAAAUUUUGCGCGCAUUUUAUGACGCUACAUUUCACCUUGAACCAUCAUUUCGAGAGGCUAAAACGUAAAAAUCACUUCCAGUAUUUUUCCAACCACGACACCAUAAAAUUUACACCAAUAAAAGUUUUGGUUUCUUUAAAUUUGGGUUUUAAAAACUUUUUCAUUUCGUUGCGCUUCGAUUUCUUAUCACUUUCAUAUAUAGAUUUUCAAUGCAGAUUUUAUAUCCCCCGAUACAGAUACAGAUGAGAUCUCACUCAUUUACAGAAAAAGUAGAACAACUCUUAUUUAGAGUAACUUCUUAGUAACUGGAAUUUGACUUCUUCUACUGGAAACGAUGAUGGCACUCAAUACCUAAAAUAACUCUACUGUGUUUAUUUAUUAUUCCGUUUACAAUUGAUUUUUAGCGAAAAAACAAUUGUGAAACUCAUGGAAACUACUACGUAAUUUAAACAGAAAUUGAAUUUAUGUUUACCAAAACAGCAAACAUAAUUUCUAAUGAAUAAGUCUCGCAUUUGAUUUUCAAUACAACUGCUCGCAACACAAACAUUGAACUUUAAACUUUAAAAACAUUGAACUUUUAGAUAAAUAAAUGGUAAAACUACAUAUUGUAGAAUUUAUAUGUUAUGUUUUAGUAAAUAGAAAAUCGACAACGAACUGCAUUUUUAUGGUGAAGCAUGUCUUCGUACGCCUGAAAUUUUCAAGCGCCUUUGAAUGUACGUGUUUUGAUGAUUGCACAUCAAUUUCUAUGAAAAUAACAAUCUAUACUUUUCAAUGAAUAUGAUUCAGAUAGUGUUUAAAAUAUGUAUAAAAAGUUAUCAAACAUUCAUACACCUUUUCAGAUGAUUUUUAUUUAAGAACUUAACUUUUCGUUCAAUAUCUUUGAAACGUGAUGUCAGGUCUGUUCAUUUAUUUCGCGAGAUAAAAACCGGAUACAAAUUAUCUCAUUGCUUUUUGUUUUCAUUGCAUAUGUAAUGCUGUAUUUCUGAAACUUUUAUCACAUACUAACAGACAGGACACUCAAAUUAGAUUCUUCAAUCAGUUCAACGGUCAUUUCGAAUAUUCCUUUAUUUGGGACAGUGCUCACAUGUGUCAUGAUGGCGCCACGUUACCCUAUCAAAAACAUCCUGUCUGUCAUCUAGAUUGUGUUUAUUUUUUUCAUUUACCAACAGAGUUGCCAUUCAUACAGAAUUACCUGUGAUGUAUUGAUUUGUAUACGUCCAUGCGAAUUUCAUGCAGGGUACAGAUUUAAUACAUAUUGCCAAAACUAUAUACUGAAUUGUGCCUACUUCUCAUCUCCAACGCAAUAGAAAAUCGAACCCGUUUUGUUACAAUAUUUACUUGUUUCUGGUCUGCCGCCACUUAAUUUCGGGUGAAAACUACCAACACAAUAAAAAAUAGUCUAGAUGAACAACGUUGAGUCAAAUAAAUGGUUACCUUCCAACAUCGCGAAAAAGUUAAAUAUAUUAUCAACGUAAUCCAAUAAUUUAUUGUGACGAUUCAUUUUCAAAUAUUUUGAUGAAAUCAGGCAUCCCUGCAAGCAGCUGAUCGGUGUUGACAAACGAGGGGAAACCAACUAGUAAAAAAACUUGUACAUAACACAAGGGGUGUACAGAUAGUAAAGAGUUCGCGCAGUACAAUAUAGGUGGAACUAGUGCAUCACGAAAAAUAUUUUUAUAAGAAUUUACUAAUACUGUCAUGUCUGUUAGUCUGUGCUUUUAUGAUAAUAUUCUCAUGUCGGCAAGUUUUGCGUUUAUUUCAAGGAGAUAAAUCUGGUACAACUUAUCUGCAAGUUUCGAAUUGUUUUUCUAAAAAUAAAGAAAACUGCACACAUUGGCCUAAAAUUUCAUGAGGCAGCCGAGACUAUGCGGGUUCGGCAGUAAAAUAGUUUUUACUGCAAGGUUUUCAACUCGGUUUUUUUUUCAUAAGAGAUAUACAACCAUUUCGGCAUAUAUGUAGUCCGAUACAAUUAUAACAGCCAUUUGGAAAAUUUUUAAUAAGUUGCACAACUGUUUUAGUUACUUCGUUUUUACAUGACGAUGUGAAAAUUUUUGCAGAGCUUCUAUAACUACUAGUGCAACAUGACCAUGUUAAUGAUUUGCUGAACCAUUGUUUUAGAUGUACUUAAAAUUGUUCGAAAGACUGUCCCACAAAGUAUGGACGCAACCAAAAACCGCUGCCAUUUCGCAAUGGUUCAGAAUCUGUCCAUUUUUAUGGCUGCGUCCUGUUGUUUACACUCUUCUCUAACCACUUGUGCAGUUGUUUAUUCGUUUUCAUUAGUUUGUUUCGAAAUGCGUGGACUUUCAGCAGAACAACGUCGAAAAAUUGUGUACAAAUGGUGCACAGAACGCGGACUGUCACUGAGAAAGAUAGUAAAAAUGGAAGGAGCCUUUGAGGAUAAACCGAAAACGGGUCGAAAAAAGGUCCUGCUAACCCUCAGUUGGAUAAACGUAUACUGAAGGCGUUCGAGUAAAAGAAGGAGGUUUCAGUUCGGAAUGUGUCCAAAAAAGUGGGCACUUCGAAGUCAAAUGUUCUUCGUGCUAAAGAACGCUUGAAUCUUCGAACCUAUAAGAAGCAGAAACAACCAAAACGUAGUCCGAAACAACAAGCAUCGAUCAGGUCGAAAGCUGUACAAUACGAUUCUUGCUGGAAAUUUGACCUGCAUAAUCAUGGACGACGAAACCUACGUGAAACUCGAUUACAAAUCCUUGCCGAGACCACAAUAUUAUAUGGUGCGAGAAGGGCAAGUGUAAAAGCAGUCCGAGACAUCGAUUGAAGUCGAAAAAUUUGGUAAGAAAGCUAUGGUCUGGCAAGCAAUUUGUAGCUGCGGUAAGAUUUCGAAACCCUUCAUCACCACUGCUUCAAUGAAUAGCGAAAUAUACAUCAAGGAAUGUUUACAAAAACGACUUCUACCCAUGAUUCGAAACCACAAGGAUCCUGUUGUCUUCUGGCCAGAUCUUGCUUCUUACCACUACUCGAAAUCAACGGUAGAAUUGUAUACUACCAAAAAUGUCACUUUCGUUGCCCAAAACUUCGACCAAUUGGGAAAUUUUGGGCAUUAACGAAGGCACAUCUUAGGAAACAUGUCUCGGCAGCCGAAACCAUUCAACAGUUCGAAAAAGAUUGAAAAAAAGUGUCAAAACUUGUCGCCAAGAAGUCUGUACGGAAUUAAUUGAGAAACGUUCGCAAGAAGGUGCGCCAGCUAAUCUACAAUGGCUAAGUAGCAAAUGUUGAGAAUAAUAUUCUGUUGUUGUAGUCUAAUGUUAUCAGUAUAUCGAAUAAAAUUUGAAUAUCUAACACUUGUGAAUUAUUUGCAGCGAAAUCAAAGUGUGUCCAUACUUUCUGGGACAGUCUUUAUAGUGAUUUUUUCGGUAGUAUUGUAAAACUCAACAGAUAUGAGUUGCACAUCCGAUUUUUAUAUAUUUAAAAAUCUUUCUGAACGUAUUUAACAUAAAAAACAAUUCUAAAACAAUUGCAGAACCUCUUGAAAUUUCAAUAAGUUACAUUUGCUACUUGGGUAGUACUCAAACUCUGAAUAACUAAGUGCAGUAUUUGAAAAAGUUUUACGCCAUUCUCGAAAAUCUAGUAAUUUAACGUGCUACGGUUUCAUAAACUGCUUCAUAUGUGAAAUUUCGCCCACUGCAGCACUCGCUUUUCGAAUACUUGUAAAAAAUGAAUGUGCAAAGUGAUAUCACAAACAUUAUCAACAUUGCAUGUAUAACGUUGCGAAAUUCUCGUAAUCUGUAUCUGUAAUUUUUGUUUAGUUUGACGAUUAUUCAUCUUACUUUUUACUAAGAAAUAAUCAACAUUAGUCUUACUGCCGAGUAAUGUAAUACAAAUACUCAUUGUCCAAAACGAUGUACUGCACUCACUCUUUCUUGAAUCAAUUGAUGGUAGAAAAAAAGUUUUCGAUUUAGGUAGUUGGGCCAUACGAUGAUGCGGUUACUUCUCGUGAGUCGAGUUUUCAACUACGGUACAAUAUUGUAGUAACAACAGCCGAAGCCGAGACUCGAGAAGAAAGGUGACGCGCUUCAUGGUUCCAGUUUUACUUUUGAAACAGGCUGGAUGAACGUCGUGCGGUGAGGCCGACGGUAACCGCUUUGCGAGGGUGGAUGUGCCUUGUAGAAGCUGCGGCGCAGUGUUUGCCUGGCAGUGUCUUAUUUCAUCGCGGUUCUUCCUCGCUGACUCAUUCACUCUCCCAAAUUGGUCUCUAGCAUGAGAUAUGUAAACGUACAUAGUUUGCCCUUCUGUUCUGGAGAGCAUUUGAGCGAUUGUGUGGUGAGUAUCUCCAAUGUGUCUGAUUUACAGGGAGAGCAGCGUGGCAAGUGAGAGCAUGCCAGAACGUGACCAUUCGCCACGCGGGGGUGUCUUGAAGCGUGGAACCGUGGGACUAGUGGAGCAGAAGCAGUCUUGUCGAGUGUCACCGCCAACUGGUCGCAGUCGGUUGUGAUCCGUGUUCCGUUCCGGUUGUGUUUUGCUUCUUAUCCGUGCCGCCGUGCCCCAUUGGUGGUGCUAUUCUUUUGCUUGGUAUUGGGAACACAUUUUCCCCUUUUGGGAGUUUGCGUCGGCAUCGCAAGUAGGCAAAUGAAGUCAGCACAAUCUUGAAUUUUUCUUUGUCAGCAAAAAACAACAUUCCCCAACCGGAGAAGCUAAUCUGUGAGCUAAUAAUUUCUUGUGAUUUCCGACGUACAUUCAGAAUAAAGUCAUACUCCCUGACAGCGGCAACGAACAACGGAAGAGUUAACCAAACAACCGCGUAGCGCGAAAACGAGAAACGAGAGUUUGUGGUGUUUGUGCAUUUUUAUUUUCCUUUGUUUGAAAAUAGCGAUCCGACUGGAAGCGCAACAGUACGCGGCAGAGAGUGACGUGCGGGAAGCAAAUGAAAAUUCGACGAUAUUCAGUCAGUGUCACCCGAAGAACACAAAGAAGAUCGGAAGCGAAAGUUUGGGUUGCGAAAGUCCUCGCUCGGUCACCCGCUCUUGGUCGCUUGGUACGCCGUUCAUAUCCCGGUUCGCACGCCCUCACCCUCACGCCACCGACAGAAACAAAACCGAAGAAACAAACACGUUUUCCCAACAGUUGCUAGUCCAAUUCUCAACCAAAGGGUCACAGGCAUCCGAUUCGAACUCGAAGUCGGAGCCCGAAGGGUCAACCGGACAAGACGAUGCAGUCGUUGAAGGUAAAUUCAAUUUCGCUUGACAUUGUGUAGCUGAAUUUCAUAAUCGUAGAAAGUUUUCUAUGCGAAGUAGCUCGCUUCGGUGAUUCGGAGCAAAAAAAAAGAAAAAAAGGGCUCUACUGAAUUACCUUCAGUAGAGGUGAUGUGAAUAUUCAUAUAUUGUAAUCUGGUAGAAUGUAAUCCUAGCAAAAGCAAAGUUUUAGGUUGAAAUUUGUUUGUAUCACUGCAUUUCGAAUGCCGAGAUUUAAAAUACGUUAAUCAAUGACGUGUUGAGAAUGUACCUUACGGUAAUUUGAAUUACUCAUAGCUCGAAAAAUGUUCUCAAGAGAUCAUUGCAUUCGAUUAUAAAGGUUAGUUUCAAAUAAUUUUCCUAAUUAGUUGCAUUUUCAAUGACACUUGAGUAGAUGGAAAUAUGUUUGUCUAAAUGAAGAGCAGUGAACGCUAACUGUUGACUAAGCUUUUAUCUUUUCAAUUCCUUAUUUUUUCCCAAUUGUAUUAUUAGUCACUGUGUAACCUCCUAAGCACAUUACUUUGGAGACUUAUAUCUCCUUAGUUUUCUCGUUCGAUCUCGAUUCUAUUUCACCAAGCGAAGAAGAAGUGCGGACUGUGUUCAAAUCAAGCGAACGCCAAAACACAUAUUUCCCCAUUUAGUUCAAUCUCCGCUCGCUCUGGUCCCGUUCCGUACGUUUUGCCCUCGAUUUGGGAUCGAUCAAAACCAAUCAAUCCCCAAUUUCCCUCACUGUGCGCCGCGUUGCGUCGCGUCGCGUCGCGUCCCAUCGGAUCCACGCGUCGUCUUUCCGUGUACGCGUGACUGCAUGAGCGAUUCCGGAGAACGGAGAACACGCUACGCUACGGAUCGGUCGGAUUGCCCCAAAACGAGAAAUUCAAAAUCAAGACGAAACCCGGGGCCCUCCGAUUGAGAAGAAAACUGAAAGGCAAAAUACAAAAGCGUGAUAUUUUUAGUACCCGAUUUUGUACUUUUCAUUUUCCGCUUUCGGUUCUGUACAUUUCGGCAUACAAUUUCGUUCAAUGGUGGAUACCAGAUGUUUCCUAUAUAGCGUAAACAUACACAUGGCUUUAGUCCGCCUCCACCAUGUCGGAGAGAGACUUCGCUGUGAGUUUGCUCUUUCUCCUGCACUUCCCUCCUCUGGGUAAAACUAUACCAACUGAUGACAUCUAGCUCCCCAUUUCCGUUCCCCCUUACAUGCGAUGAUACACGCGCAUUGUAGUUCAGCCUGCUGACGGGAUCGAGUACCCAACAUGUGUCUCCUCACACAAGCCACCCACUUGUUCCAUGCCAGCGUAGCACUGGUUCAUAUUUGGGCGGUUCAUGGAAAACGCAUCUGUCAGGCUUUUGUUUGUCUUCUGUGUAACCGGCUUUCUGUUUACAUCGUGGGACGGGAGCGGGUUCGGAGGAGGUACAAAUUAUGCGUUACAAUAUACGCUUCUCAUUGUAGUAAUCAUAGAAGAAGGGCAACACCAGACCGCUCAAAGGCCAGUAGUACCUACCUAGUUGUUGAAAUCUUCAAACGACGUUGAUUAUUCUGUGAUUCUACACGAUCCGGCUAAUAUAUAGUUCCGAGCAGAAGACUGCAAUUUAAGAACUGAAGACUACAAUUACCAUUGUGUUUUGUUAUCAUUGCUUGCAGAAUCUCAGAGUAUCUGUCCAAAACACCGCUGUGAUACGAGUUUUGAGUACUACCAACUUUUAGAUUCGAAUAUUUAUUCAUAAACAUAUCCUCACAUCAACACAUUCCUUGCACUUAUAGUUGACAUUUUCGAUGCCAUCACAAUCAACAUGUUGUAAUCAUCAAAUUAACGGACAAAGGGGAAAACAAAAUAUAAUGUCGUUAAUUGUUGACACUGUAAACAACGUUUUUUUUUGAGUCCAUCAAAUGCAGUACAUGCUGUUGUAUUCAUCCACGCCAUCUGUCGUAUUACAUGGUGUUUUUGUCUGACCAAAUUAAGCGAACGCAUUCAUCGAAGCAACCCACACUCGCGGAUGUUUUUUUUUUUUUUCAAAAUUUCCCUUCUAUCGCUCUCCAAUCGCACUUUUGCAGUUAAAUUAUCGUUUCAUCUACCUCUUUUUUUCAUCCGCAGAGACUUUCUCUUUGUUUUGACGUUGUGCGAUCCAUGCAUAAUUUUCUGGCAGUCCUUUUGCAAAGGUUUUUCUUUGAAUUGACUUUCAUGCCUAUUAUCCUUAAUUUUGAUGCAAAUAAAUAUAAUGGACAACGUAUGGUAAAUCCGGUCAUUGAUUUUUUAGGCCGUGGACUAUUUCGCAAAUUAUUUUAACUUCCAGUUAAAAUUUUACAGUCGAGCAAUUUUGCUUAUCGAGUAGUUAAAUAUAACUAAAACUGCACAAUGUUCCUAAAAAUUGCGUAUGAAUUUCAUAAGGCUUUUUAUUGGAAUUCCAAUUUUCGUGACUUCAUAAGGCGGUCUUAUGAUUCGCAUACGAUAUUCUUAUGGCUAAAAACCAUAUGAUAUCCUUAUGAAAUUCCAUAUAUUUUUUGUCUGAGUGUGCGACUCAUUUCAAAGUUUGACGGAUGGGAAGUUAUUUGGAUUUAUUUUGCACUGAAAAUAAAAUGAUUCUUAUUUUUGCCUUUCUCGUAUAUAGAAAGGCUAUACAAUCACUGUGAAACCCGACUUUUGAACCGAGGCCCGGAGGGCCGAAUGUUAUUUACCAUUCGACUCAGCUCGAUGAAGCAAAUGUGUGUUUAUGUGAUGAAUAAUGUCACUCGAUUUUCUCAGAGAUGGCUGAUUUUCACAAAUGAAAGAUCUUAUGGUCCCAUAGAUUGCUAUUGAAUUUCAUCCCGAUCCAAUUUCUGGUUCCGGAUUUACAGGAUGAUAUGCACAAAAAAAAUGAAAAAAUUGUCGCUCAUUUUUUUCAGAGAUAGCGUGACCGAUUUUCACAAACUUAAAUUCAAACGAAAGGUCUUAUGGUCCCAUAGCUUGUUAUUGAAUGUUAUCAUCAUCUUACUUCCGGUUUCGGAGGCAAUAUGUGCAAAUCUAUGAGAAAAUACGCACUCAAUUUUCUCAGGAAUUUCUUGACCAAUUUUUUCAAACUAAGAUGAAAAUGAAAAUUCUUUUAAAACACCCCGAAUAGUUGAUCCAGAUCCGACUUUCGGUUCCGGUAUUACAGCGCGAUAAGUGAAAAAAUUUUCAUUUUCAUGAUAAUUUUUACCUUUUUUUAUAAAUAUUAAAAAUAGGUAUAGAAUUCGCUCAAACUUUAGAAAAAAAAAUCCGAGUCCCGGAGGGCCGAGUGUCAUAUACCAAUCGAUUCAGCUCGACGAACUGAGCAAAUGUCCGUGUGUGUGUAUGUGUGUUGUCAACUAAGAGGUCGAGAUCUCAGAGAUGGCUCGACCAAUUUUGAUCGAACUAGUCGCAAAUUAAAGGUCUUCCCGUCACCCUGAACGCUAUUGAAUGGUUCUGAGAUCAGAUGUUUACUUUUUGAGUUAUACGAAGUUUUAUGUCAAAAUUUUCAGUUUUUUGCCAAUAUCUGUCACAAUUGACCUUGAAAAAAGAAUAUGUUUUUAGACUUAGAUUCCGUACGGUAAUAGAUAUCCAACAAGCCAUAGAUUGUUAAAAUCUGCCAUUUUUAAAGGAGAUAUCGAUAUUUUUGUAUAAGCGACUUUUUCACCUAUUCCAGUAGUAGGAGUUUUGACAGAGCAAUGCGUGGGAGCAACGUGAAAUUAACGAUUUUUAUACUGUUACAUACAAUUGUUUCUAAGUACCAAAAGACUGCGUACAACAUGAAAUUUUGCCUCCGACCGAUUUUAGCACGGUUCGUUUUAGGCAACAUUAUCGUUCGAAUAUAACAUAUGUAAAUCAGAGGAUGGCCAAGAUGGAAGCAUUUUCGAGUUAAAAACAAUUGCAUAAUUAUAUUGAUUUAAACUACUGACAGUAAAGAAUGCUGAAAGAACAUAACACCGAUAUACCAUUCGAAUCAGUUCGUCGAGAUCAGCAAAUGCUUGUGUGGAAAAUAAUUUCACUCAAUUUUCUUGGAGAUGACUCAACCAUUUUCUACAAACACAGAUUCAUACGAGAAGUGCUUCCAAACAAAGUUCCUGAAUUACGUCUGGAUCCGACUUCUGGUUCCUGAGCUACAGGAUGAUAUGUCAAACAAAAUUAAAAUAGUGUAACUCAUUUCUCUUAUAGAUGGCUGAACCGAUCUAAGAUUCAAUUGAAAUCUAAGAACCAUCUGAGAUUCAAAUGAAAGGUCUUAAUAUUCUAUAAAACAUCUUGCUUUUUUGUCAGUCUGCACUGAUUUUCGAACAUUUUGAAUCAAAUGUAAGCUAUACAACUCCUCAGGUGAAUUUAACUGACUUCGGCUACACUGAUUUUUAAUUCUGGUUCCAGUAUCGAAUCGUUUUCUCGAAAAAUCGUAUUUCAAAAACAAAAAUUCAAAUUAAAGGAUGUAUGGUCCCAUGCAACAUUAAUUUUAUCCAAUUCUGAUUACCGAUUCUGGAAUUACAGGGUGAUGAGUUUUUAAAAUUUAAGCCGAUAUAACGGGUGGCAACUAAAAUUUUGGAAUUUUUUCGAGGCCUGUAUGCUCAACAACAAACGAGCUCAGAAAGAACUAAAAGUGUGUAUGUGUUAGCUCUCUUUCUCCUCUUUCUGCUAGUAUUUCUGUUUUGUUCAUGCUUGCUCAGUUUUGCUCAAAAUGCCGUCGAAACAAGAAGUAUUUCACGAGCGCAUUGUACAGUUCUACGAACUGCACAGAAAUCUCGGCAAAUAGUAUACGGUACAACAUUUUAAAAGCAAAAAUGUUGCGGCUUCUACAGUUUACAAUAUCCUAAGAUGCCCAACAACUGCUCGUAAGGAAGGUAGUGGAAGACCAGCCAAAAUUAUGAACGCAAAAGGACUUCGUUCUCUUUCUCGUGCCUUCAACUUCACUGAGUCAAAGGGAUGCCGCAAAAAAGUUCAACUGUUCUCACCAGUACAUCUGCAAAACAUUGAAAAGACUCGGAAUAAUGUACCGAAAGAAGACACGAGCCCCGGGAUAUACUGACACACAGAUUUCAACGCUGAAUUCCCAAUGCCGCUUGUUUGAUUCAAAAUUUUUCCGGAAAAAGUUUUGUUCUGGACGACGAAAGCUGAUGGGCUAUACAUGUUUUGGCCUCAAUGUCGCCCAAUCGAAGAUUUCUUGAGAGUUUUGAGCUCCUUGAGGUACAAAAAUAACUGGAGAGCCACGAAUUGCUAACAGUUGAUUGGUAGAAUCAAGAGAUGCAUUCGCAAAGUUGACAUGAAGGCCGUACAACGCUCCUGUUCCGACAUCAAACGGAAGCUUCGCCGAACAUCCGAUUACGGACCGUUUUCAAAUGUUCACUAAUUUUUGAUCAACAAUGAACAAUGUAUCUUUAAUUUCAAUAAAUCAGAUCUUCUCCAAGUAUGUUUGUCUUUAUUUGACAGCUUGAGAAAGAAAUUUAAAAAAUUUAGUAGCCACCCGUUAGAAGAUGACAAUUCUAAAAAGCUUCAAAAUUAAACUGAAAACUAUUGCAAUUUCGUCAUAUUUAUUUUUUGGCCAUACGAAUCGUGUUGGGUUAAGCUGGUUCAUGAAUACCGGCUCUGGAAGUACCGUAAAUAAUCGAAAACUCUAAACUGAAACUUUUUUCGACAUCUUAUGGAAUGUUUAAUCGAUUGUCACACGUUUAGAUUCAAAUUCGAUCCGAUUUGCAGCUUCGACAUUACAGGGUAUUGAGUGAUUAAAAUCACACAUUGCCGCUUAAAACGACGGUCAUUAAAAUAAUGUCAUGAGUUUUUGACUAAUAAACUUGUUAAUAAAACAAAAUUCACUUUUAUUUUCUUUGAUCUUUGUCUGUGGUGGUGAUAGAUAGAUAGAGUCAAUUUUUUUUUAUUUUAAUCACGAAAUAGAUUCCGAUAAGAAUUUCGUGUUGAAUUGAAAUGUUGCUGUUUUUUUGUUUAUGAUAUUCGCGAACUAAACACAUUCUCUGAAAACAAGAGUUUUUUUUUCAGCAAAGAAAAUUCAGAUUUUCAACAAAUUUAAUAGUUAUUUUGAAAAUUUUCUUGUUAAAAUCAACUAAUUCAAAAACAGUAAUACGAAUUAGGCACAGAGCCAAUCUCGAUCGUUCCAUGCACUGCAGAAUAUUCAUUAUACUUUGAAAGAUUUUUUAAACAUUGAUGCCAUUUUUGUAGAUUUGUCAGAUAAGUUGUUAAAGUUUUCAACAAAUGUCACAACAAUAAUUUUCGAAGAUAUUUCUUUAAAGUAGCAGACUUAGAUUUUGGCAAAACUCAUCAAAGCCAGUUCGAGUGCUUUGGAAAAUAUGAUGUGGCAUAUUUUUCAUAAACCCGCCGCGUAGAAUUGCCCCCAUCCUGAGUUCAAACUUGAAACCAAUGCUAAUACUAAAAAGUGGAAAAAUAAUUAAACGCAUGAAGCAUCACGAUCAUCGUCUUAUAAACAUAUUCCGUAAGUAAAUAUUUAGUCAUGGUUAAAUAUGCUCUACUGUAGACAUCGACCAGCUCAGCUCAGUUUAUUUUCAUUGACGAGAGCAUGUUCGUUGCAAGCUUACACAGUCUCACGAAGAAACACAUUAGUAAGUAACAUUUCACUCCGGGGAAAUUUAUUUUUACAGAAUUCACCGAAACGUUAUUACCAUCAUAGGAACUUCAACUCUCUGUGGAAGUGUAUUUCAGAAAGUAUUCGUGUGAACAAUAGGUUAGUUCAGUCUAUAUUUUU